GACGAACGCUGGCGGCGUGCUUAACACAUGCAAGUCGAACGGAAAGGCCCUGCUUUUGUGGGGUGCUCGAGUGGCGAACGGGUGAGUAACACGUGAGUAACCUGCCCUUGACUUUGGGAUAACUUCAGGAAACUGGGGCUAAUACCGGAUAGGAGCUCCUGCUGCAUGGUGGGGGUUGGAAAGUUUCGGCGGUUGGGGAUGGACUCGCGGCUUAGCAGCUUGUUGGUGGGGUAGUGGCUUACCAAGGCUAUGACGGGUAGCCGGCCUGAGAGGGUGACCGGCCACACUGGAACGUAGACACGGUCGAGACUCCGACGGGAGGCAGGAGUGGGGAAUAGUGGACAAUGGGCGCAAGCCUGAUCCAGCCAUACCGCGUGGGUGAAGAAGGCCUUCGGGUUGUAAAGCCCUUUUGUUGGGAAAGAAAAGCAGCAGGAGAAUAGCCCGCUGUUCUGACGGUACCCAAAGAAUAAGCACCGGCUAACUUCGUG
rnacentral:rRNA from 1 species